rnacentral:rRNA from 1 species
CAGCCUGCCCAGUGACAGAUUCAACGGCCGCGUACCCUAACCGUGCGAAGGUAGCAUAAUCACUUGUUCUUUAAAUGAGGACUAGUAUCAAUGGCAUCACGAGGAUCCUACUGUCUCCCCGCUCCAAUCAGUGAAACUGAUCUCUCCGUGAAGAAGCGGGGAUGCACAUAUAAGACGAGAAGACCCCAUGGAGCUUUAAACCCAACGGCAACUAUAUUUUAAUGCCCUCACAUUCACCCAGCAAAUGCUCGUUGGUUUUAGGUUGGGGUGACCAUGGAGUAAAAAACAACCUCCACGAAAAAAGGGGUAAUAACCCUUAUCAAAGAACCACGAUUCUAUGAAUUAGUAAACUAAUUUUUAAUGAUCCGAUUUUCGAUCAACGAACCAAGUUACCCUGGGGAUAACAGCGCAAUCCACCUCGAGAGCUCCUAUCGACAGGUGGGUUUACGACCUCGAUGUUGGAUCAGGGUUUCCCAGUGGUGCAGCAGCUACUAAAGGUUCGUUUGUUCAACGAUUAAAACCCU